UACGGGGGGAGCAAGCGUUGUUCGGAUUUACUGGGCGUAAAGGGCGCGUAGGCGGCCACUGCAAGUCGGUUGUGAAAUCUCCGGGCUUAACCCGGAAAGGUCAAUCGAUACUGCAGGGCUAGAGUGCGGAAGGGGCAACUGGAAUUCUCGGUGUAGCGGUGAAAUGCGUAGAUAUCGAGAGGAACACCUGCGGCGAAGGCGGGUAGCUGGGCCGACACUGACGCUGAGGCGCGAAAGCCAGGGGAGCGAACGGG
rnacentral:rRNA from 1 species